UGCAAUCCGUGAUGAAGACAAUUGUUGAUACUGAUAUUAUAUGAUUGUAAUACAAUUUAUCACCAUCUUUCGGCUGAGAUUGCA